rnacentral:misc_RNA from 1 species
AUCACAAUUCAGCUUUUUCACAUUUAGGGACAACUAUGUCACGCUACCCAAAGUAAGGAGAGACCAAAAAACCACACAUUCUACAGAACUCUUAUGAUAUAGAUGCAUAACCACACCGCACACAAACUCAUGCUGGCUGCUGAACAUGCAUGUGAAUUUCUGGGCUUAUCGUUUAAGUGCAAACAUGUUUUUGCCUCCCUGUACCGAAGCUUUGAUAGUCCAAAUGUUGAACCAAACUGAAAAUCCAUCCAACUCCCACUCGAACCAGCAACUGCGUGAUCUUAAGCAGCCAUUGGAAUGAGUUUGAGAACUCCCAGCUAACUCCCAUUUGUUCAAUGCAAGCUCAUCAUCAUAUCACAAAAAAUGUAGAGACUACCGUGCAAAAAACUGUACAACUUUCACCCCACCUAACAAAAAUCAUACUUAACAGAUCAAAGUCACCGUAUUAAGUCUUAUUUCCUUGGCCACAAUAUUGACAUCUUCCAGACAGGCUUUAAAAUUCCGAAAGAUUUCCAAUUCUUUCUAGUGAUCCAUAAUACUAUAUAAUUAGAUAAAUUAUUCAGUUCAGAAAAACCUCCUCCUGAAAUUCCUG